UACAGAGGAUGCAAGCGUUAUCCGGAAUGAUUGGGCGUAAAGCGUCUGUAGGUGGCUUUUUAAGUCCGCCGUCAAAUCCCAGGGCUCAACUCUGGACAGGCGGUGGAAACUACCAAGCUGGAGUACGGUAGGGGCAGAGGGAAUUUCCGGUGGAGCGGUGAAAUGCGUAGAUAUCAAGAGGAACACCUGAGGUGAAGACGGGUUGCUGGGCUGAUACUGACGCUGAGGCGCGAAAGCUAGGGUAGCAAACGGG
rnacentral:rRNA from 1 species